AUGAUGCAUUAUGUCUUUGAGACACUCUUCUUGGUUCCUAAUACGUUCACUGACAGAUUUUUGCUGGAAUCACCCAGGCCACAAACUAACCUUCUGUCCUUCAUGUUCAGCCUAUGCUCAAGAUCAAAAAUCUCAGAGAUUCAACUUGAUAUCAGUGUUGCAGUGUGUGAAGAACGUACGAAAUCCCCGAACAAUUUUUGCCAAGGUUUUGGGAAAACGUGGUCUCUUCUUGAUAGCGUUUCAAAGCAGGAACUUUGGAAUCCUUGGCUUCUGGCCACCCGUAUAACUAUCUCAUGGAGAGGUCCUUGCCAAGAGAUGGAAAACAGAGUCCUGGUAAUGCUAAUUGUCUCCCUAGAUAGAGUUGUACCAGAAGUCAAACUAAACUCAGAUUUUUGCAUGCAUAAGCCAAUUGUUUGUCUGUUUUUCUUUAUUAUUUGAUUCUGCAUUCUAUCACUGUUAAAUAAAUUUUUUCCUGAAUAUCACAUAUAUAUUAGUAACAAACUCUAAAAUAUUAUUUGCUCCAAGACUUUAGAAAUAGAUAAUGAGGUAGAUCUUUUCCUAACACAUUUUAAGAUGAACAAUGAAGACUGUUUUCACCUUUGCUUUAUGGUGUGGAGGUAAAAAAUAAGGAAAUUCUCAUUUAUUUUAUUUUUGGAAGAAAGAUAGAGUAUGGAAUACCUCUGAGUUCGAAGGUUUACUUUACAUAUUUGGAUAUCUCCUAGAUUUUUUCCAUUCCUCCCAUUGUUUUUCCAAAGCCCAAACUUUUUAUAGGAACUUAAAGUAGGUUAUUUGAGGGGAGAAAAGUUGCUUUAAAUUAUUCCCUGUUGAUUUCAGAUGCUUAACACAGAUUCUAGAAAGUCUUACUUUCUCCCAAGGAAUAACUAAUACCCUGUGGUAUUAGGCAGGCUCUUUACACAGUAACAUCAUGAUCAUUUUUAGCAAAAGGAAAUGGUCUGUGAUUAUUGAGCUAUUAUUUCCCAUGAGUCCUCAAAAAGAUGGACUAGGGAAAGCUAAUCAGUAGUUUUGUCAGUUUCUUACUAUUAGUGUGAUCAUCUGAUGUGUUGGAAUGUACAGAUUGCCUAUGGGGAGAAGAGUGUCAUUUCUCUUUGGAAAAAUAACCUGCCUAACUUAUCUUUAUAGAACCUCAGGAAGUCUUUAUUAACUUACAAUUUUUAAUCAUUAAUACAGGCUUAGAUAAGUAGGUUGUAUCGGCAAAUAGGAUUUCAAUUUAUCUAAGACCAUAGUCACAAUAUUCAUGAUUUUUGUUUGUGGAAGUGAGUCUUAAAUAUCUUUGAGAAAACUAAAGUGAUAAUGAGAUAUUUUGGAGGUUCAUCUUAAAAUUUUAGAAGAAUACAAUAAUAGUAAUUUGUUCGGAUUUCUGGUCUGUGAUGUAAGAAGCUUGCAAAUUGUCACUCUAUCUCAAGUAAAAAGCUGAGGAAACUGAAAAAUCAACAACUCUUCUUAUUUUCAAAGGACACAAGCGGUUUGGAGGCAAACCACUGUCCCCCCAAAUUGGAGAGACUGACAUAAAUACAGAGAAAUAAAAUUUACAUGAGUAGACACUCACCAGCUGAAACCUCUGUGGAAACCAGUGCAAGGGUGGAGAAACCUGAACUGUAAUUGAUGAACUGCUAGAGGUCCAGUAAGCACAAGUUUGAAAGUUAAAAAUUCCAUAGUAACACAGUCAUGGAGGUUGAGUUCACAUACUCAUAAAUUUUACCUCCAAGAAUUCUACCAGAUCCUCAUAGUGAAUACGGAAAAAAACAAUCACCUCAUGCUGUCCACACACUCGUAAAUUUUACCUCCAAGAAUUCUACCAGGUCCUCAUGGUGAAUAUUGAAAAAAAUCAGCUCUUUCUUCCCAGCAGGAAGAGGGGAAAAGGAACCAUUUUGAAAUACUCCAGAGCAUUCUGUUUUCUGUAAUAAAGCUUGCACAAGGAGGGACUAUUUAAUAAGAGCUUAACCUGCUGGAGUUUUCUCAGAGCCUAACUUACCCGGAGAAAUGAGGAGACCCAACUUCAUCAAGCUCUAGUCUUCCAUGUGGAGGAAGGGAAAGACCAACUUCAGCCAAGUCGAACUAUCCUGUCCCAAGAAGGGGAGAAAAGGGGAAUAAAGAAGCACAUGUGAAUUUCACAGCUGAGAAGCACAGGCUCACUAUAAAACUGAGACCUAGUCAAAGACUAUACAACCCAUUCCUGCCACCUACACCUUACCACCACAUUACUAAAGACCUACUAAUAAACUUAAUUUUUACCCAGUACAUCAUUUCUGACCAUCAGGGAAAAAAAUUACAAGGCAUACUAAAAGACAAAAAAAUACAGUUUGAAGAGAUAGACCAAGCAUCAGAACCAGACUCAUAUAUGUCAGGGAUGUUGGAAUUAUCAGACUGGCAAUUUAAAACAAUUUUGAUUAAUAUGCUGAGGUUAUUGUUAUGGUUUCUUUCUAAUUUGAUCUUAAAGUCUCACUCUUGAGAGUGCUCAUAAGGCAAAAUAUUCACUUUCCAGAGGAAAGUAAGUUUUGGAUGUGUUGGUGAGGUGAGACACAAUGAAGAAGUGAAACAGAAAUGCUUGCAACAGAAAAAAAAAGAUUACAGAUUCCUGAGAGGUUAGAAGUUCCAUCCAAAGGGAAAAGGAACGCUGGAGGUGACAAGGAGUUCAACCAGCAGGUGGGAAGUGAGAAAGAAAUAGAACCUGUAAGUCUAUGCCUUUAUUUAUAGGCAUGUGGGUUUAUGGACAUCCCUUAGGCUUCGUCAUGGGAUAUGUAGAUUGCUUAGUUUAAAGAAACACAUGUGAAGGAAUGGACCUAUUUACAAGACUCUGGUGUCAACCAUUAUGUUUGACCAUGGUCAGCAGCUAUGAAGUGUGUUGAGUUUUGGAUCUGCUAGAUAAGAAACAAGUGGACUAUAUUAUCCACAACCACUAAGUGAGGGGAAGUUUUAACUAAUUCAAAGGUGAAAAACUAUGACUGGGUUUCAGAAAAAUUAAUGUCAGGCUUAAAAAUGGAUGGUAAGGCAGCAAAUAUAUCAUACAAAUUUAUAAGAAAAGAGCUCUAACGGAUAAAGUAGGCAGCUUUCACAAACAGGAAAAAAAGUAAAGAGAUGAACCUUUUAAGAAAGAACAACAAAAAGGCUGGAGAUAAAAAAUGUUAUAACAGAAACAGAGAUGCCUUUGACAGGCUUGUAAGUAGAUGACACAGGGAUGAGGAAUCUCUGAACCUGAGGAUACCUCAGUAGAAACAUCCAAAAGUUUAAAAGGAAACAGGAAAACAAAAAGGCAGGAAAAAUAAAACAGAAUAAAACAGACCACAAUAUCUAAGAACUGUGGGAUAGUCGCAUAAGGUAUAACCUAACUCUAAAGGAAAUAGCAGGAGAAGAAGAAAGUAAGAAAUAAACAGAAGAAAUACUUCAAACAAUAAUGACUGAGAAUUUUUCCAAUUUAAUGUCAAAUGCCAAACCACAGACCCAGGAAGCUCAGAGAACGCAAAACAGGAUAAAUGUCAAUAAAACUACACCUAUACAUAUCAUUUUCAAACUACAAAAAAUAAAUAAAUAAAUAAAUAAUAAAAUAAAUAAUUUUUUUUUCAAUUCUGAAAAAGCCAGAGGAAAGAAACACCUUUCCUAAAGAGGAGCAAAAUUAAGAAUUCUAUUCAACUUCUCCCAAAAACUUUGCAUUAAGAAAAGAGUGGAAUGAAAUAUUUAAAACAUCAAGGGAAAAACCUCACCAACCUAGAAUUCUGUACCCUGCAAAAUUAUCCUUGCAAAGAGAAGGAAAAAUAAAGAUUUUCUCAGACAAACAAAUAUUGAGAAAAUGCAUUGCCAGUAGAUCUGCCUUAGAAGAAAUCACUGAAACUGAAACCAGGAAAUCAAUAGAGAAAACAGACCCCAAACCUGGAUUUCUGAGCUCACUAAAGUUAGCCUCUGUCCAGGCUAACUAUGAAAAAAAGUGGAGAGGACAUAAAUUCCUCAUGUCAGAGAUAAAAGAUAGAUAUCACUUCAAACCUCAGAGACAUUAGAAGUGUAAUAAAAGACUAUUAUGUACAACUUUAUGCCCACAAGUUUGAU
ensembl:lncRNA